UAUAAAUAUCUUGUAUAUUUAUAAGAUUGGCAGUGUGGUUCUUGCUGGACCUGGGUGAUAAUAGAUCCCGAAAGACGGAGAUUGAACCAAAAAACAACUCUUAUAAAAAGAGUUGUUUUUUUU
rnacentral:sRNA from 19 species